UACGGAAGGUUCGGGCGUUAUCCGGAUUUAUUGGGUUUAAAGGGAGCGUAGGCCGUUUGGUAAGCGUGUUGUGAAAUGUAGUAGCUCAACUUCUAGAUUGCAGCGCGAACUGUCAGACUUGAGUGCGCACAACGUAGGCGGAAUUCAUGGUGUAGCGGUGAAAUGCUUAGAUAUCAUGAAGAACUCCGAUUGCGAAGGCAGCUUACGGGAGCGCAACUGACGCUGAAGCUCGAAGGUGCGGGUAUCGAACAGG
rnacentral:rRNA from 1 species